UUGAAGGUGUGAGCAUGAUUUCAUGGUUUUGGGUUUCACCUUUGAGAUUUCCGGAGCUGGGGGUAUUUAAAGAGGCUGAGAUUUUUAGCAGAGGUUGAGCUUUAUUUCGGUGAACUCUAUGGCUUUUGCUUCUGUUUAAGAUACGAGUUCACUCGAUUUGGCUUUCCAUUAGCUAGAAGGGGAAGUUACCAAUUAUAAAAUUUGGAAGGACUUGGUCAUAAUCCCAAGAAAUAGGAACAAGAAAAAAUAUAAUCAUUGUGGUGGUUCACGUCCUUUCACGAAACACAUGGAAGCUGAAGAACAGAAAGGUAAAAAUGUGACCUGUUGAGAAUUGGGGUCUCAUGCAUCAACAUCGAGGCAACAAUGGUGGUGUUUGGAUCAAUGAAGAAGCGGAGAGGACAGGGAAAAAUCUGAUUGAAGAGUUGAUUAAAACCAAGCAACAGUUGGCUGAGUCUGAGGAUACCCCAUUUGAAGAUGUUGUAGUGCCUAUCCCUAUGCAAUUAGAUAUCUUGGCUAAGGAGCUUGGAACUAUGAAGGGUAAGACCAUUCGAGGUGUGGGCUAUGGUCUUAAAAAGGACAGAUUUUGUUCUUAAAUCCCUGCAUCCACGUCUAACCCAACAAUUGCUCAAUUUAUGAGGUACAUUAUUCUAUUGGAAGAACGACUUACUUCUCUUGAGGGUGAGAAACAACCUCAACCUCCUACACAUGAUGUGGAUGAAGAGGGUGCUGAGGAGGGUGAUGAGGAUGAGAAUGAGGAUAUGGAUGUGCUUUAGGUGUUGAUAUCCUCAUUAGUUUUUUGCAAGUUAUAUUUUGGAUGUGUACAAAUGAAGCCAUGAUAUUUCCACAUGCAUAGAUAUCCCUUAGUUUAGGGCUUUGGCAGGUUUUUGGGUCUUAGAUGUCCUUAUUAGCUUUUGGAAGGAUACAAUUUGGAUGUAAAAAUGAUGCCUUCAAAUUUCAAAUGCAUCCAGCACUUGAUAUGUAAAUUUUUCAAGUUACUAUCUUUUGUAAAGUACUAGUUGAUAAGCAUGUUAACAUAUAUUUUUGCUACUUAUUUACUUA